rnacentral:tRNA from 1 species
GGUUCUGUAGUUCAAUGGAUAGAACGGAAGUUUCCUAAACUUUAGAUUCGGGUUCGAUUCCCGGCAGGACUA